GUUAAGCGACUAAGCGUACACGGUGGAUGCCCUGGCAGUCAGAGGCGAUGAAGGACGUGCUAAUCUGCGAUAAGCGUCGGUGAGGUGAUAUGAACCGUUAUAACCGGCGAUUUCCGAAUGGGGAAACCCAGUGUGUUUCGACACACUAUCAUUAACUGAAUCCAUAGGUUAAUGAGGCGAACCGGGGGAACUGAAACAUCUAAGUACCCCGAGGAAAAGAAAUCAACCGAGAUUCCCCCAGUAGCGGCGAGCGAACGGGGAGGAGCCCAGAGCCUGAAUCAGUGUGUGUGUUAGUGGAAGCGUCUGGAAAGGCGUGCGAUACAGGGUGACAGCCCCGUACACAAAAAUGCACAU
rnacentral:rRNA from 1 species